AACGAACGCUGGCAGCAGGCUUAACACAUGCAAGUCGAGCGCCCCGCAAGGGGAGCGGCAGACGGGUGAGUAACGCGUGGGAAUCUACCCAUCUCUACGGAAUAACGCAUGGAAACGUGUGCUAAUACCGUAUACGUCCUUCGGGAGAAAGAUUUAUCGGAGAUGGAUGAGCCCGCGUUGGAUUAGCUAGUUGGUGGGGUAAAGGCCUACCAAGGCGACGAUCCAUAGCUGGUCUGAGAGGAUGAUCAGCCACACUGGGACUGAGACACGGCCAAGACUCCUGCGGGAGGCAGCAGUGGUGAAUAUUGGAAAAUGGGUGCAAGCCUUAUCCAGCCAUGCCGCGUGAUUGAUGAAGGCCCUAGGGUUGUAAAGCUCUUUCACCGGUGAAGAUAAUGACGGUAACCGGAGAAGAAGCCCCGGCUAACUUCGUGCCAGCCGCCGCCGUAACAC
rnacentral:rRNA from 1 species